GGGUUGUGAGGUUAAGCGACUAAGCGUACACGGUGGAUGCCCUGGCAGUCAGAGGCGAUGAAGGACGUGCUAAUCUGCGAUAAGCGUCGGUAAGGUGAUAUGAACCGUUAUAACCGGCGAUUUCCGAAUGGGGAAACCCAGUGUGUUUCGACACACUAUCAUUAACUGAAUCCAUAGGUUAAUGAGGCGAACCGGGGGAACUGAAACAUCUAAGUACCCCGAGGAAAAGAAAUCAACCGAGAUUCCCCCAGUAGCGGCGAGCGAACGGGGAGGAGCCCAGAGCCUGAAUCAGUGUGUGUGUUAGUGGAAGCGUCUGGAAAGGCGCGCGAUACAGGGUGACAGCCCCGUACACAAAAAUGCACAUGCUGUGAGCUCGAUGAGUAGGGCGGGACACGUGGUAUCCUGUCUGAAUAUGGGGGGACCAUCCUCCAAGGCUAAAUACUCCUGACUGACCGAUAGUGAACCAGUACCGUGAGGGAAAGGCGAAAAGAACCCCGGCGAGGGGAGUGAAAAAGAACCUGAAACCGUGUACGUACAAGCAGUGGGAGCACAGAGCAAUCUGUGUGACUGCGUACCUUUUGUAUAAUGGGUCAGCGACUUAUAUUCUGUAGCAAGGUUAACCGAAUAGGGGAGCCGAAGGGAAACCGAGUCUUAAC
rnacentral:rRNA from 3 species